rfam:Halophilic archaeon DL31, complete genome.
UGAGACGGCCAGAGUGGUGAGGCAACACCCGUACCCAUCCCGAACACGGAAGUUAAGCUCACCCACGUGUCAGCCAGUACUGGCGUGCGCGAGCCGCUGGAAACCCUGAUUCGCCGUCUCUC